rnacentral:rRNA from 1 species
GGGGAAUCUUCCGCAAUGGGCGAAAGCCUGACGGAGCAACGCCGCGUGAGUGAUGACGGCCUUCGGGUUGUAAAGCUCUGUGACCGGGGACGAACGGUCUGUAAGCUAAUAACUUAUAGAAGUGACGGUACCCGGAUAGCAAGCCACGGCUAACUACGUGCCAGCAGCCGCGGUAAUACGUAGGUGGCAAGCGUUGUCCGGAAUUAUUGGGCGUAAAGCGCGCGCAGGCGGCUUCCUAAGUCCAUCUUAAAAGUGCGGGGCUUAACCCCGUGAUGGGAUGGAAACUGGGAAGCUGGAGUAUCGGAGAGGAAAGUGGAAUUCCUAGUGUAGCGGUGAAAUGCGUAGAGAUUAGGAAGAACACCGGUGGCGAAGGCGACUUUCUGGACGACAACUGACGCUGAGGCGCGAAAGCGUGGGGAGCAAAC